rnacentral:rRNA from 1 species
GCAUAUCAAUAAGCGGAGGAAAAGAAACCAACAGGGAUUGCCUCAGUAACGGCGAGUGAAGCGGCAAAAGCUCAAAUUUGAAAUCUAGCACUUUCAGUGUUCGAGUUGUAAUUUGAAGAAGGUAACUUUGGUUUUGGCUCUUGUCUAUGUUCCUUGGAACAGGACGUCACAGAGGGUGAGAAUCCCGUGCGAUGAGAUGCCCAAUUCCAUGUAAAGUGCUUUCGAAGAGUCGAGUUGUUUGGGAAUGCAGCUCUAAGUGGGUGGUAAAUUCCAUCUAAAGCUAAAUAUUGGCGAGAGACCGAUAGCGAACAAGUACAGUGAUGGAAAGAUGAAAAGAACUUUGAAAAGAGAGUGAAAAAGUACGUGAAAUUGUUGAAAGGGAAGGGCUUGAGAUCAGACUUGGUAUUUUGCGUUCCCUUCCUUUUUGGUUGGGUUCCUCGCAGUUUACUGGGCCAGCAUCGGUUUGGAUGGUAGGAUAAUGACAUUGGAAUGUAGCUUUACUUCGGUGAAGUGUUAUAGACUUUGUUGAUACUGCCUAUCUAGACCGAGGACUGCGUCUUUGACUAGGAUGCUGGCGUAAUGAUCUUAAGCCGCCCGUCUUGAAACACGGACCAAGGAGUCUAACGUCUAUGCAAGUGUUUGGGUGUAAAACCCGUACGCGUAAUGAAAGUGAACGUAGGUGAGAGCCUUUUAGGUGCAUCAUCGACCGAUCCUGAUGUCUUCGGAUGGAUUUGAGUAAGAGCAUAGCUGUUGGGACCCGAAAGAUGGUGAACUAUGCCUGAAUAGGGUGAAGCCAGAGGAAACUCUGGUGGAGGCUCGUAGCGGUUCUGACGUGCAAAUCGAUCGUCGAAUUUGGGUAUAGGGGCGAAAGACUAAUCG